ACUCCUACGGGAGGCAGCAGUGGGGAAUAUUGCACAAUGGGCGCAAGCCUGAUGCAGCCAUGCCGCGUGUAUGAAGAAGGCCUUCGGGUUGUAAAGUACUUUCAGCGGGGAGGAAGGCGAUAAGGUUAAUAACCUUGUUGAUUGACGUUACCCGCAGAAGAAGCACCGGCUAACUCCGUGCCAGCAGCCGCGGUAAUACGGAGGGUGCAAGCGUUAAUCGGAAUUACUGGGCGUAAAGCGCACGCAGGCGGUCUGUCAAGUCGGAUGUGAAAUCCCCGGGCUCAACCUGGGAACUGCAUUCGAAACUGGCAGGCUAGAGUCUUGUAGAGGGGGGUAGAAUUCCAGGUGUAGCGGUGAAAUGCGUAGAGAUCUGGAGGAAUACCGGUGGCGAAGGCGGCCCCCUGGACAAAGACUGACGCUCAGGUGCGAAAGCGUGGGGAGCAAACAGGAUUAGAAACCCGUGUAGUCCC
rnacentral:rRNA from 1 species